rnacentral:rRNA from 1 species
GAUGAACGCUGGCGGCGUGCUUAACACAUGCAAGUCGAACGGGGUUUACGAGAAGCUUGCUUUUUGUAAACCUAGUGGCGGACGGGUGAGUAACGCGUGAGUAACCUGCCUUAGACUGGGGGAUAACACUUAGAAAUAGGUGCUAAUACCGCAUAAGCGCACAGUAUCGCAUGAUACAGUGUGAAAAACUCCGGUGGUCUAAGAUGGACUCGCGUCUGAUUAGCUGGUUGGUGAGGUAACGGCCCACCAAGGCGACGAUCAGUAGCCGGCCUGAGAGGGUGAACGGCCACAUUGGGACUGAGACACGGCCCAAACUCCUACGGGAGGCAGCAGUGGGGGAUAUUGCACAAUGGGCGAAAGCCUGAUGCAGCGACGCCGCGUGAGUGAAGAAGUAUUUCGGUAUGUAAAGCUCUAUCAGCAGGAAGAAAAUGACGU